CGUAUAGUCUGUGCAGGGAAAUGAACAGUCGACAUUUCGGAUCGAGUCCCUUCUACUGAACAUGUCUUCAUGCCUCUUCUCUUCCUUAGUAGAAGAAAAAUCUGCAACAUUUUAAUUGACUGAGUAGUUAAGUCCGAAAACACGAGGAAUUCUGCAGAUGCUGGAAAUUCAAGCAACAUACAUCAAAGUUGCUGAUAAACGCAGCAGGCCAGGCAGCAUCUCUAGGAAGAGGUUCUUUUGAAGACCCUGACCGAGAGAUACACUCUGACUUCGGUUCUUUGCGGGAAUGGGAUCCACUUUCAAGGCCUCACGAUUGGUCGCUUUUUGAUAUCCUAAGGAUGCGGCCUGGAAGGGUAUUGGAUUUUCGUGGCUGUGGAGACGGCCUGAUUCUAGGCCGGGGCCCCUGCCUGGAGCGUCGUGGGAGAACAUGGAACAUCAGGAGCAGCGGGUUAGCUGCCAGAGGUUGUGUGCCCAGAGAGCUGCGCCUUUCUGGUGCUGACUCUCUGGGCACGGAGCUCAGUAAAAGCAACGCAACAGACUUCUAACAUCGUAAAUCACACAGAUGCUACCUGACCUCCUGAACAUCUCCAUUCCCAACUCCUGAUUCCUCCAACUUGGAUGUAUUUGCUCCUGUUUCAAGUCCGCAUAGUGCAUUGCAGAAUAAUGGCUUCGUGGAUCACCCAGCCCAAUCCAUCAACAGGAGGUGCUGCCUCAAGAAGGCAGUAUCUGCCAUCAUGGAUCCCUGCCAUCUGGGUCACGCCCUGUUCUUGCUGCUUCCAUCAGGCAGGAGGUAAAGAAGCCUGAAGUCCAUCGCCGCUAGGUUCAGGAACAGCUUCGUUCCUACAAUCAUCAGGUUCUUGAACUGACUUGCACAACCUUCUGACCAUGACAGUAAAGCUGAACUUGACUUUCCUGUUGCCAAAGUGAACUGAACCUUUGACUGCACCUCACCAAGUUCCUGCACCUCAAUGCACUUAACCCCACUCCCUGGCUCUUGCCCCCUGCCAUCUCCACCAGCUUCCAUGUUCAACAGAUCGUCCUUUGCAAUUUCAGCCAGCUCCAGGAAGAUCUUACCACUCAACUGAUAUUCCCCUCUCCUGCCCUGUCGGCAUUUCAAAGGGAUUACUUUCUCUGUGAUUCUGUCAUCCACUAUUCUCCCUCCAUCAAGUGCUUCCUAUUGUGUAGCGCUUUCCCGUGCAACUGCAGGAGAUGUAACACUGGUCCCUUCACCCCUUCCCUUCCCACCAUCCAAGGGCCAAAACAUUAUUUACAGGGCAAACAGGGACUCACUUGCAUUUCUCCCAACCAAGUAAACAGCAUUUGGAAUUUAGCAGGUGAGAUUGGAUAGGCUGGAUUUGAUUUCUCUGGAGUGAAGAGGCUGGGGAUGACUUGACAGAGGCACACAUAAUUAUGAGAGGCAAAGAGAAGAUUAAUAGUAGAAAUGUUUUUCUACAUGGUGGAUAUAUAUAUAUAUAUAAAAGAGUUUUAAGAAGAGUUUAAGAUGAGAGACAGGGGGUUUAGAGGCGAUCAAAAGGAAGUUUUUUCACACAGCAUUGUUUUCUGUCUGGAAUGCAUUGCCAGAGGUGAUGUAGUCAGAACCAAUCCCAACAUUUAAGAGGUACCUAGACUGGCACUUGUUCAGUCUCAGCACAGAAGGCUACAGAUACAAUGUGCAUUAAUGUAGAUAUGUGCAAUGGUUGGCUGGAUAUGAUGAACCAAAUGGUACAUUUCUCUGGUCUGCUGCAGGACUCUAUAUUAAUAAAUGUGGAAGACAGUGCAGAGGUGAUUUUGUAAAUCUGCUCUCCUAUUGGGGACGUAUGAAUAACACGUAGUUGCAGUGCUGGCUGAGAGAAGGUAAAAGCUUUUUAAUUACAGCUGACCACUCUGGAGUUAAUGCAGGAAAAGAUUUGUGAAAAGAAAUGUAGGGGCCGGCUGGUGGCGCAAUAACAGCGGGUUCGAAACCAGUCGCGUCCGCUCCCGAGUCAUCCGUGCUGGGUUGAGUAUCGAGAAAUAUAAAAGGGAAAAAUAAAAUAAAAGGUUAAAAUACUGCGAAAAUGUCUGUUUGAAGAGUGGCGCAGUCUCUCUUUCGAAAGACAUCAUCACGGACGCACAAGAUAAACAAAGUACAUGCUGCUUAUCGAUGACUCAUUCAUAGCCAGAAGCCUCACCCACUCAGAACUGAUUUAAGCUUUGAAGAGUAUAUUCAACGUUCAAGUGAAUUAAUUAUCACCAUAUACAAGCCUGAGAUUUGUUUUCUUGUGGGCAUACUCAGUAAAUCAGAGAACCAUGAUAGAAGCCGGCGCACAACGGGACAGACAAACAGCCAGGUGUGCAAAAGACAACAAAUGUGCAAAUGCAAUAGUAAAAUAAUAAUAAUGAUAAUAAUAAUCCAGAAUGUGAGACAAAAAGCCUUUGAAAAUGAGUCCAUAGGUUGUGGGAACAGUUUAGUGAUAGGGCAAAUGAAGUUGCGUGAAGUUAUCCACUCUGGUUGAAGAGCCUGAUGGUUGAGGGGUAGUAACUGUUCCUGAACCUGGUGGUGCGAGUCCUGAGACUCCAGGUACCUUCUUCCUGACGGCAGCAACGAGAAGGGAGCAUGACCCAGGUGAUGGGGUUCCCGAUGAUGGAUGCUCCUUUCCUGUGACAGAGCUCCAUAUAGAUGAGCUCACUGGCGGGGAGCGGAGGGCUUUGCCCAUGAUGGACUGGGCUGUAUCCUCAACUUUUGUAGGAUUUUCGUUCACAGGAAUUGGCAUUUCCAUACCAGGCUGUGAUGCCCCCGCCACCGGUUACAGUCAUUUCCCCCGCGCAUGAUUUUGUUUACAAAUGUAAUAUAUAUGUAGUUGUGCACAAACAACAGGGGGCACUCCUGAUACAGCAGGCAUCAUUCAUCCUUAACCAAUUGUAUGAGAUCUUCCACACUUUGCUAUCAUGUUUAUAGAGUUAUAAAAACAACGAGACAACUCUCAACAUGCGGAGUUAAGGCCAUAAAGCUUAUCAAAGUCACUUUAGCCUUCUUGGCAAAUGGCUGGAGUGUAUCACCCUUUUCAAAUGUUUCUUUCAUCUUCCGGAACAGAGUAACACCAUAAGUAGCUUUUUCAGUGUCUUUCACGGAAUUGUUCCUGCAAUCUUGAUGGUUUCAUGGCUUCAUUGGACAGCAUAGUAUUACAAAAUGAUUCUUGUGAUGCGUCUAAUGUGGUAGUAUAGUGGUUAGUGCUUGUCGCUCUCACUUUCAGCUGAAUGUGUAAAUCUCUCCCUGCCAGUCCAUAGGCUCUGCAACAGCCAGCCCCAUGUAGUGCCUCCUUGCUGGUGACACACGGAAACUGAACUCAGGCUGACCUACGGAGGAGGGAGAAGGAGAUCUGGCCAUGCACACAUAGCAUGCAGACCCACCGGUGGGUGGACACACCCUUGUGCCCGAGAACCAGGUCCCCAGCUGUGGGUAAAUAGCCCCACUACAUUGUAGGCAGGCUCGCGAGAGACGAAGGCUACGGGAAUGGACCCAGACUGCAAAUCCGGAAUGGGGCGCUAGGGCGGCUGGAUGUCAUUGAACAUGCUUCCGGCUGCUCCUGCAGCCCAGUUGGUGCCGAAGUUUCCUUUGUACCAAACGUUUGAGGCCGAGAGGGGGAUCUUGAUGACUGGGGGCAUCUCAAGAUCUCCAAACCUUACACCCAAGCUUGUGAUGAUGAUCGUCAUCACCCACUGUCCUUCGAGAAAGGCAGAUGUCAACCAUUAACAACCGGACACAUGGGGCGUCGCUGACCUGACGGGAACGGAAUAAAACCGUACUCCAGGCUUGACAAGAAGCUCAGAAACCUCAUCCUUGACGCUGCCUUGUGCAGCUGGGUCCUGGACUUCCUGCAGAUCACCGGCAGCUGGUAAGAGUGGGCCCCGUCACCUCUGCCCUCCGACACAGGAGCCCCCAGGGCUGUGUCCCAAGCCCCUCCUUUACUCUCUGUACAACCAUGAUUGUGACACCACUCACAGCUCCAAUCUGCUAAUUCAAUUUGCAGAUGAUGCUAGAUUCAUUGGCCUUAUCUCAAAAAUCAUGAGGCAGCCUGCACAGAAGAAUUCAUCACCUUGACACAGAGGUGUCAAGAAAACAACCUCUCCUGCAAUGUCUCAAAAAGAAAGGAGCUGGUUGUGGACUACAGCAGGAAUGGAGAUUGGCUCAUCCCUAUUGACAUCACUGGAUCUGGGGUUGAGACGGUGAACAGUUUCAAGUUCCUUGGUACACACAUCACCGAGGAUCUCACUCGGUCUGGAUGUAUGGGCUGUGUGGUGAAAAAAGCACAACAGCACCUCUUUCACCUCAGACGGAUGAAGAAGUUUGGCAUGAGUCCCCAAAUCCUAAGGACUUUCUGCAGGGCUACAAUUAAGAGCACCAUGACUGUCUGUAUCACUGCCUGUGCUUCCCUCAAUCGCAGGGUUCUGCAGAGAGUGACGCAGACAGCCCAGCCCAUCUGUAGAUGUGAACUUCCUACUAUUCAGGACAUUUAUAGUGACAAGUGCAUAAAAAGGGCCCAAAGGUUCAUUGGGGACCCGAGUUACCCCAACUACAAACUGUUCCAACUGCUACUAUCCGGAAACAGUACUGCAGCGUUAAAGCCAGGAGCACCAGGUUACGGGACAGUUUCAUUCACCAGGCCAUCAGACCGAUUAAUUCACGCUGACAUAAUUGCACUUCUAACCUACAUUGACUGAUCUGUUGUAUAACUUACUGAACAUAAUAUUUAUCAGAAAUGACUAUAAUUUACACAUUGCACAUUGAGACGGAGAUGUAAUGUAAAGAUUUUUACUCCUCACAUAUGUGAAGGAUAUAAGAAAUAAAGUCAAUUCAAUUGACAUAUCCAUUUUGGGAAAAAGUGUCUGACAUUUAACUCUCAUAUGCUUCUCAUAAUGUUUUUCGAGGUCACCCCCUCUGCUUCCAAUGCUCCAAAGAAAACAAUCAAAGUUUGACGAACCUCUCCUUAUAGCGAAUGCACACAAAUCCAUGGAACUUCCUCGUGAAUUUCUUCUGCACUGUGUGGUGGUCACAAUUGUCCCUGUUACUGCACCUGUGGCCUGACCAAAGCUUUCUACAGCUGCAAUAUUAUUCCCAAAUUUUACACCCAUUAAUUACUCCAACUGCUGAAGGCAAGCAGGCCACAUUCCCUCCUUACCAACCAAACUACUUACGUUGACACUUUCAGAGAAUUAUGGCCUUGCACCACAAUAUCCCUCUGUACCGCAAUCUUCAUGCUAUUUACUCACACUUUCCUCUUGCAUUUGAACUCCUUUCAUAUUUCUCAGAGUUAAGCUACAUCUGUCAUUUCUCUGCUGAAAAUAUCGACUUAUCUAUAUCAUGCUGUAUCCUUUGACAGCCUUGUUUUUUAAUCCAUAAAUCCACAAGUGUUGGAGUUAUCUGUGGACUUACUCAAGUCAUGUCAAGGUUAUUGUCAUUUAUGUCAUGGUCCGAUCCAUGAAGUCUGCAUUCCAGAUCACCAUCCAGUCCAUUGAUUCCUUAUCCAGGUUUUCCUGUUUUCCCUUGUUCCAUUGGGUGCCUUAAUUGAGGCACCUGAUUCUUCUUGUGGGCUGGCACAUAAAUACCUCUCAAACCAAGGAUUCCCUGCUGGACUGUUCCCUUCCCUUCUCCUUCCUUCUGAACGUUCGCCUGCCACCUCGUCAGUAUCCCCAUCAAGUUCAAUUGCCGGAGUGAGACCAGAGCCUUGCCAUGCCAAAAGAAGAAACUAUCUAUGGUUGAGUUUGGAAUUGUCUCUUUGUGUCUCCGUGUUUAGUGUACGUGUUCUGUGUACGAGUCCCGGCCCUACAGCCCUGUCCAGAGAACAUCUUCAGUUUACCCGGGGCAGCGUUUCAAAACGUCCCCCAUGGGAAAGAGCUUGUCGUGGUUCAUCAAAGCCAGUUGUGAGAAGAUAAAGAGAAGUGGAACUGCCUUCAUGGAAGGAGACAAUAGACAACCGUGGACUUGCUCUUCAGGGCUAAGAUUUGUAAGCCCGCUGAUAAAUGGCGAAGCACAGAGAUAGCUUGACAAGAAGCUCAGAAACCUCAUCCUUGACACUGCCUUGUGCAGCUGGGUCCUGGACUUCCUGCAGAUCACCGGCAGCUGGUAAGAGUGGGCCCCGUCACCUCUGCCCUCCGACACAGGAGCCCCCAGGGCUGUGUCCCAAGCCCCUCCUUUACUCUCUGUACAACCAUGAUUGUGACACCACUCACAGCUCCAAUCUGCUAAUUCAAUUUGCAGAUGAUGCUAGAUUUAUUGGCCUUAUCUCAAAAAUCAUGAGGCAGCCUGCACAGAAGAAUUCAUCACCUUGACACAGAGGUGUCAAGAAAACAACCUCUCCUGCAAUGUCUCAAAAAGAAAGGAGCUGGUUGUGGACUACAGCAGGAAUGGAGAUUGGCUCAUCCCUAUUGACAUCACUGGAUCUGGGGUUGAGACGGUGAACAGUUUCAAGUUCCUUGGUACACACAUCACCGAGGAUCUCACUCGGUCUGUAUGUAUGGGCUGUGUGGUGAAAAAAGCACAACAGCACCUCUUUCACCUCAGACGGAUGAAGAAGUUUGGCAUGAGUCCCCAAAUCCUAAGGACUUUCUACAGGGCUACAAUUCAGAGCACCAUGACUGUCUGUAUCACUGCCUGUGCUUCCCUCAAUCGCAGGGUUCUGCAGAGAGUGACGCAGACAGCCCAGCCCAUCUGUAGAUGUGAACUUCCUACUAUUCAGGACAUUUAUAGUGACAGGUGCAUAAAAAGGGCCCAAAGGUUCAUUGGGGACCCGAGUUACCCCAAACACAAACUGUUCCAACUGCUACUAUCCGGAAACAGUACUGCAGCGUUAAAGCCAGGAGCACCAGGUUAUGGGACAGUUUCAUUCACCAGGCCAUCAGACCGAUUAAUUCACGCUGACAUAAUUGCACUUCUAACCUAUUUUGACUGUUCUGUUGUAUAACUUACUGUACAUAAUAUUUAUCACAAAUGAGUAUAAUUUACACAUUGCACAUUCAGACAGAGAUGCAAUGUAAAGAUUUUUACUCCUCCCAUAUGUGAAGGAUAUAAGAAACAAAGUCAAUUCAAUUGACAUAUCCAUUUCGGGAAAGGAUGCCUGACACUUAACUCUCAUAUGCUUCUCAUAAUGUUAUACGAGGUCACCCCCUCUGCUUCCAAUGCUCCAAAGAAAACAAUCAAAGUUUGAUGAACCUCUCCUUAUAGCGAAUGCACACAAAUCCAUGGAACUUCCUCGUGAAUUUCUUCUGCACUGUGUGGUGGUCACAAUUGUCCCUGUUACUGCACCUGUGGCCUGACCAAAGCUUUCUACAGCUACAAUAUUAUUCCCAAAUUUUACACCCAUUAAUUACUCCAACUGCUGAAGGCAAGCAGGCCACAUUCCCUCCUUACCAACCAAACUACUUACGUUGACAGUAGUGUUUGUUAUCCACUGGUGUUGGUGUUGGUGUUUGUUAUCCACUAGUAUUAGUGGGAGGAGAUGUUGGUGGUGCGACUCGGUGCGUGCAGCUCUCCGGUGAAAUGAUAUCGUAUUUGUAAGUAGGAUGCCAUGCACAAUUCUGAUUUGAUGGAGACAGACGUGAGAAGACACAGAGGAACAUCUUGAGAUAUUUCUGAACGCUGGUUCGCUGCCGCUGUUACUGGGUGAUCGAGAAUCUUCCGGAGGGAAGGCCCCAAACUCCCCGGCUUUGCCUGCUGCUGGCGACAGAGGCUGAGGUCGAAGCGUUCGGCAGAGAUGGUGCUCGGUACUCUGUGUGGGAGGGCUGAUCGGAGGCUCGAAGUUUUUGGACUACUCAGAGUGGGACUGUGGUCAGGCAUGGCAGGGGGAGUUUUCUGCCUUCUCCCAUCUGCCUGAGAUGUGGGACUUUCGAGAGACCUUUAACUUUUUUACUGUGCCUAUGGCCUCUUCUUCAUCAAGUUAUGGCUUGACUACACACGGAGCUGUCUUUGAGGAGAGUACGCUCAGAUCCCGGUCUAGUGGAGCAAUCUGAAAGCCAUUAUUUCCUCUGUCCUGUCCUCCAUGCAGUGGUCUGGUGUGCAGUAUCAACAUACCAAUAUCUCAUCUCAAGUCAAAUGGCACCAUAAUCUCCCAGGCAUCAUGCUCUGCAGCCUGUCAAUACAGAGAACAUCUUCAGUUUACCCAGGGCAGUGUUUCACAACGUCCCUCAUGGGCAAGAGCUUGUUGUGGUUCAUCAAAGCCAGUUGUGAGAAGAUAAGGAGAAGUGGAACUGCCUUCAUGGAAGGAGACAGUACAUAACCGUGGACUUGCUUUUCUGGGGAAAGAGUUGUAAGCCCGCUGAUAAAUGGCGAAGCACGAGGGACAGUAAGGAGUUUAGUUUUAAUAGAAAUUGCUGCUUAACACUUACACGUGAAUUUGUCUGUUAUUGUUAUGAAGCUCUGAGAAUAUUCCUGCCCUUUUGAAGUGCUUGAUCUGAUUGGAUCUGUGAUCUUUGAAUUUUUGUUGUCGGCAAGUCCUUAAUAGCAAAGUGAAACCUUAUAAAUAACUUACGUCUUCCAGUUGCACGACAUCAGUAAUGUUGUUUCACUAUUUAGGGAUUGUAGGUUCCACUUUACAGUAAUUCACUCUGGUCAUUAGAAAAGGAAAUUAGCAGGCCCAGGCAUGUGGUAUUGUGAUUUCAUGCAUCUCUGGUGCACUGGAUCCAGAAUCACCCAUUAACAGGGGACUUUUUAUUUCCCAAAUUACAUCUUUCCACUUUUCAUCGCUACUGAUGCUUUGCUGCUCAUCACUCCAACAAGGCUCCCGCCUGAAGGCACACUCCCGAUGGCAUGCAAACAGCAGGAAUGCGUAUAGGAGCUGCUAAAGUGAAUGAGAGGCUUCGAGGCGAAGGUCAGAGAUGGGCUGGAUUCAGUAAAUAUAACACUACAUUGUGGUUACUGAGGAAGGGUGUUGGCGCAAGAAUCUGCCAGGACUGUAUGUUGCAGAGUAUGGGUGUAGAUGGCUGGGAUUUUGCCUUAGCAAGAGAGACCCAACCAAUUAAAUCUUGGUUCUCAUCAUUUGACCAGAAAUAUCAUGGAGAUAUGUAUAUAUAUGCUGCCCCAUAUGUAUAUUCAUGUGUCAUAGAGUUAUACAACUUGGAAACAGA